UCUGCCUCCUUCUGUCCUCUCUGGUCUUAAUGCGAGAACCUUAAUUGACUCAGAGCGCCUGUAUCUGCUCCAUCUGCCUGAUGCACGAACACUGCUGCUGCUGCUGCUCAACAGAGAGCUUCGAGUUAUGUUGCAAGUUCUGAGAGUGUGAUCAAGUCAACCUAGAUCAAGACAAGACAGGCAGAGAUCUUCUGGCAGCAAUAGAAAGGCAGAAAGAUAUCAGUGGAGAGUAAAUGAAAAUAGUCACAUGCAAAGAAAAGGCAUCAACAAAGCCAGGAAUCUUAGUGGGAAUAGUCCAAAAUCUUCCAUACAUCAGGUGCUUCAGACUAACAAAACAUCCCAGUUAGGUUAAACAUGCAUAACCAAAUCUUUUUUUUUUUUGUAUAGUCCUGCUUCAGUGUGUUUCAUUUGUCAAGGUACACAUGUGAUCUUGGUGCUUACUUAGAAAGGAGCACAGAGAAAUUAAGAAACUUGUGUAGAAUCUCAUAGUAGAAUUUAGAACUAGUUUGAAGAUGUUUAGUUACUAGAGUCCUAACUCUCUAAAUAUGAGAUUAAAUAAAU